rnacentral:rRNA from 1 species
AUGGGUCAGCAGUCCAAACAGACGCGCGCGCCGGCACCUCGUGAAGCCCCUCCACCAGCGCCUCUGCUCACCCCGCCGCCAGCGCAUCUCCUGGUCCCGCCGCCGGCGCAUCUGCUGGUCCCGCCACCGGCGCAUCUGUUGGUCUCGCCGGCGCCUAAGUCCGCCCCGCCGCCGGGGAUCCCGUCGGCCUUCCCUUCAAAGCAGAGAACAAGCACUUGGAUCCCCACAAGACCACAAGAGUCUCUGGCGGCUAGUCUGCAGCAACCAAGUGAAUCGGGUCCUACGGCUCAAGGUCCUUGCUGGGCACCGCCUGCUUGCAUCGGUGACUCUACAUCACCUUGA